rnacentral:rRNA from 1 species
AGAGUUUGAUCCUGGCUCAGAUUGAACGCUGGCGGCAUGCCUUACACAUGCAAGUCGAACGGCAGCACGGGGGCUUGCUCCUGGUGGCGAGUGGCGAACGGGUGAGUAAAGCAUCGGAACGUACCUUGUCGAGGGGGAUAACGCAGCGAAAGUUGUGCUAAUACCGCAUACGUCCUGAGGGAGAAAGCGGGGGACCGCAAGGCCUCGCGCGAUGAGAGCGGCCGAUGUCAGAUUAGCUAGUUGGUGAGGUAAAGGCUCACCAAGGCGACGAUCUGUAGCGGGUCUGAGAGGAUGAUCCGCCACACUGGGACUGAGACACGGCCCAGACUCCUACGGGAGGCAGCAGUGGGGAAUUUUGGACAAUGGGGGAAACCCUGAUCCAGCCAUGCCGCGUGAGUGAAGAAGGCCUUCGGGUUGUAAAGCUCUUUCGGCCGGGAAAAAAUUGCACGGAUGAACAGUCUGUGUAGAUGAUGGUACCGGACUAAGAAGCACCGGCUAACUACGUGCCAGCAGCCGCGGUAAUACGUAGGGUGCGAGCGUUAAUCGGAAUUACUGGGCGUAAAGCGUG